UUUUGAGUAAAUUCUAGUCAACAAAUCAAGAAAUAUGCCAAACAAAGACGAAUCACACGCUCAUGGAAUGGGACAAGCCGGAAAGAAUCCUAAGGCCGGAGCAGCUGGUGCUCAAUCAGGAGCCGCUCACGCUGGGGCUCCCCAAGCCGGAAAAAAUCAAGCUAGCUGUGGAGCCGGAAACGCCGGAAAGCAAUGCAACUAAAUUUCGAUUUAAUUUGGGAGUUCAUCAACAUAAUCG